rnacentral:rRNA from 2 species
GGUUGACCUCGGAUCAGGUAGGAAUACCCGCUG